CAAGGGAUUACAAACACAUAUAUAAAAUAAUUACCAACUAUAGAUAAAUUCUACAUAAUUAACACACACAAUCCCUUAAAACAAAUUGAGAACAGCUACGAAUAAACACCAACAAAUAUACAAACAAACAAACAAACAAACAAAGAUCUCUAUGCAAACUCCGCUGAAACCAAAACAACUCUCGAGCGUGCUUGCGUCAUGACGUCGCGGCGUCACAUGACGGCAGCAGCACAGCUGAGAGGGGAGCGUCAAGGCGGCGUAGAGCGGAUUACUCUGUGUUUACAUUCCGUUUACCGUCUCUUUUCUGCGUUUACUCCGAUUUUACCACAACAGCGCGCAUCUCCUGCAUCUGACCGCCUGAAGCAGACUUUCUCACAAUUCUGCUACACGAGAAAACUGGAGAAGACAAGUCCAAACCUCCCAGUUACAAGAAAAAGGUACGGUAAAAACAAUUACUCGGAGGUGUCGAGUCAGCAGUGUUACGGUCACCUGCGGCCCUCCGCCGUCCCUCCGGCGCUGCCCCCCGCUGACCUGGAGCUGGAGAAACCCAUCGCUGCCAGCUCCAGCUGAAGACACCAGCGGUCAGCCAUCGAUCGCUGGCCCUGUGCAACACUGAGUCACAAACUCUCAUCAUCUUAAAAUAUAUACGCCGUUCAAAAGUGCAAUUCCUGAAAACUCUACUAUUUUCUUAAGAACCGCAUCUUUUUUUUUUUAUCUUGAGAAGAAAAUAAGCUUAAUUUGUUGUUUUCAGAUUGCGUGACCUUUCUUGCCAAAAACACCUCGCGCAACACUUUUCAUUCGGAUUCGGCCGGAUUCACGAAAACAUGCAGCUUCAGAUGUUUACGAGCAAUUCCAAUAAGUUCGUAAGAGUCACAAAAACCUUCCUGAGAUAGAAGUUAAAGAUGAAUUCACAGAAAUCGGUAGCACUGUAUUUUACAGUCCUGUUCCACGUGUACAUACUGUGCUCUUAAUAAACAAUCCCAUAAUAACUGGGUACUAACCCUG
ensembl:lncRNA